UUGGCUCAAGAACGAACGCUGGCGGCGUGCUUAACACAUGCAAGUCGAACGAUGAAGCCCAGCUUGCUGGGUGGAUUAGUGGCGAACGGGUGAGUAACACGUGAGUAACCUGCCCCUGACUCUGGGAUAAGCGUUGGAAACGACGUCUAAUACUGGAUAUGACUACUGGUCGCAUGGCCUGGUGGUGGAAAGAUUUUUUGGUUGGGGAUGGACUCGCGGCCUAUCAGCUUGUUGGUGAGGUAAUGGCUCACCAAGGCGACGACGGGUAGCCGGCCUGAGAGGGUGACCGGCCACACUGGGACUGAGACACGGCCCCACG
rnacentral:rRNA from 1 species